rnacentral:rRNA from 1 species
UACGGAGGGUGCAAGCGUUAUCCGGAUUCACUGGGUUUAAAGGGUGCGUAGGUGGGCUGGUAAGUCAGUGGUGAAAUCUCCAGGCUUAACUUGGAAACUGCCAUUGAUACUAUCAGUCUUGAAUACCGUGGAGGUCAGCGGAAUAUGUCAUGUAGCGGUGAAAAUGCUUAGAUAUGACAUAGAACACCAAUUGCGAAGGCAGCUGGCUACACGAAUAUUGACACUGAUGCACGAAAGCGUGGGGAUCAAACAGGA